rnacentral:rRNA from 1 species
AACGAACGCUGGCGGCAUGCCUAACACACGCGACUCGAGCGAGACCUUCGUGUCUAGGGGCGCGGGUGUGUAACACGUGUGGGAACGUGCCCUUAGUUUCGAAAUAACUCCCCAAGAGGGGUUCUAAUAGCGUAAAAUGUUUGCGGACAAAAGAUAUAUCGCCUUUGUAUGGGCCCGCGUUGGAUUAGCUAGUUGGUAGGGUAAAAGCCUACCAAGGCGACGAUCCAUAGCUGGUCUGAGAGGAUGAUCAGCCACACUGGGACUGAGACACGGCCCAGACUCCUACGGGAGGCAGCAGUGGGGAAUAUUGGACAAUGGGCGAAAGCCUGAUCCAGCAAUGCCGCGUGAGUGAUGAAGGCCUUAGGGUUGUAAAGCUCUUUUACCCGGGAUGAUAAUGACAGUACCGGGAGAAUAAGCUCCGGCUAACUCCGUG